CUUGCAGGUUGGCUUUGCUGUUGCAUAUUUGAGAUGACACUUUCAGAUGACUCUAUGACUUCUUUGAGGGAAUCAGGUUGACUUUUUGUGCAGCAUUAAUAUGCAACUGGUUGUCAUCAUUACUGCCAGUAUUUUCCACGCGCUACAUGGUCCUUGAUGGGUACGUCGACGUUUUGGUGAUUGAGUGACGUCUGGGCUCCAUGAAAUGCUAGUCCCAACUGCUGUUUGAAAGAAAAAUCAGCACUGAACUAUGAUGUGAAACAAAAAAAAAUUUCGGUGUUGCGUGAAAAUGUUUCCUAAUUAGGGACAAUAGAAGAGUGAACUUGACACAAGAAAUCAGUUGGACUAAUAAUUUUACAUCCAGUAUAGGUUUGUGAUAA
rnacentral:lncRNA from 1 species